rnacentral:rRNA from 1 species
AACGAACGCUGGCGGCGCGUCUUAAGCAUGCAAGUCGAACGGCAAGAUUGGUGCUUGCACCGAUCCUAGAGUGGCGGACUGGUGAGUAACGCGUGGGUGACGUACCCUAAGGAUGGGGAUAGCUGGUAGAAAUAUCAGAUAAUACCGAAUAUCCUUAUUGUUGUUAGAGGACAGUAAGGAAAGGAGCUUUGGCUUCGCCUAAGGAUCGGCCCGCGUACUAUUAGCUAGUUGGUGGGGUAAUGGCCCACCAAGGCGACGAUCAGUAGCUGGUCUGAGAGGAUGAUCAGCCACAUUGGGACUGAGACACGGCCCAAACUCCUACGGGAGGCAGCAGUGGGGAAUAUUGGACAAUGGGCGCAAGCCUGAUCCAGCCAUGCCGCGUGAGUGAUGAAGGCCUUCGGGUCGUAAAGCCCUGUUGAUAGGGACGAAGGGCGAAGGGUUAAUAGCCCCUAGCCUGACGGUACCUUUCGAGGAAGCCCCGGCUAACUACGUGCCAG